rnacentral:rRNA from 1 species
UACGUAGGGUGCGAGCGUUGUCCGGAAUUACUGGGCGUAAAGAGCUCGUAGGUGGUUUGUCGCGUUGUCCGUGAAAUUCCCUGGCUUAACUGGGGGCGUGCGGGCGAUACGGGCAGACUGGAGUACUGCAGGGGAGACUGGAAUUACUGGUGUAGCAGUGAAAUGCGUAGAGAUCAGUAGGAACACCAAUGGCGAAGGCAGCUUGCUGGCAUGUAUCUGACGCUAAGGCACGAAAGCGUGGGGAGCGAACAGG